rnacentral:rRNA from 1 species
GGUUGUCCCGGUUUAAGCGUGUAGGCUGGUUUUCCAGGCAAAUCCGGAAAAUCAAGGCUGAGGCGUGAUGACGAGGCACUACGGUGCUGAAGCGACAAAUGCCCUGCUUCCAGGAAAAGCCUCUAAGCAUCAGGUAACAUUAAAUCGUACCCCAAACCGACACAGGUGGUCAGGUAGAGAAUACCAAGGCGCUUGAGAGAACUCGGGUGAAGGAACUAGGCAAAAUGGUGCCGUAACUUCGGGAGAAGGCACGCUGAUAUGUAGGUGAAGCGACUUGCUCGUGGAGCUGAAAUCAGUCGAAGAUACCAGCUGGCUGCAACUGUUUAUUAAAAACACAGCACUGUGCAAACACGAAAGUGGACGUAUACGGUGUGACGCCUGCCCGGUGCCGGAAGGUUAAUUGAUGGGGUUAGCGGUAACGCGAAGCUCUUGAUCGAAGCCCCGGUAAACGGCGGCCGUAACUAUAACGGUCCUAAGGUAGCGAAAUUCCUUGUCGGGUAAGUUCCGACCUGCACGAAUGGCGUAAUGAUGGCCAGGCUGUCUCCACCCGAGACUCAGUGAAAUUGAACUCGCUGUGAAGAUGCAGUGUACCCGCGGCAAGACGGAAAGACCCCGUGAACCUUUACUAUAGCUUGACACUGAACAUUGAGCCUUGAUGUGUAGGAUAGGUGGGAGGCUUUGAAGUGUGGACGCCAGUCUGCAUGGAGCCGACCUUGAAAUACCACCCUUUAAUGUUUGAUGUUCUAACGUGGGCCCCUUACCGGGGUUGCGGACAGUGUCUGGUGGGUAGUUUGACUGGGGCGGUCUCCUCCUAAAGAGUAACGGAGGAGCACGAAGGUUGGCUAAUCCUGGUCGGACAUCAGGAGGUUAGUGCAAUGGCAUAAGCCAGCUUGACUGCGAGCGUGACGGCGCGAGCAGGUGCGAAAGCAGGUCAUAGUGAUCCGGUGGUUCUGAAUGGAAGGGCCAUCGCUCAACGGAUAAAAGGUACUCCGGGGAUAACAGGCUGAUACCGCCCAAGAGUUCAUAUCGACGGCGGUGUUUGGCACCUCGAUGUCGGCUCAUCACAUCCUGGGGCUGAAGUAGGUCCCAAGGGUAUGGCUGUUCGCCAUUUAAAGUGGUACGCGAGCUGGGUUUAGAACGUCGUGAGACAGUUCGGUCCCUAUCUGCCGUGGGCGCUGGAGAACUGAGGGGGGCUGCUCCUAGUACGAGAGGACCGGAGUGGACGCAUCACUGGUGUUCGGGUUGUCAUGCCAAUGGCACUGCCCGGUAGCUAAAUGCGGAAGAGAUAAGUGCUGAAAGCAUCUAAGCACGAAACUUGCCCCGAGAUGAGUUCUCCCUGACUCCUUGAGAGUCCUGAAGGAACGUUGAAGACGACGACGUUGAUAGGCCGGGUGUGUAAGCGCAGCGAUGCGUUGAGCUAACCGGUACUAAUGAACCGUGAGGCUUAACC